rnacentral:rRNA from 1 species
GAUGAACGCUAGCGGCAGGCUUAAUACAUGCAAGUCGAGGGGUAGCAAGAUUGUAGCAAUACAAUUGUUGACGACCGGCAAACGGGUGCGGAACACGUACACAACCUUCCUACAAGUGGGGAAUAGCCCAGAGAAAUUUGGAUUAAUACCCCGUAACAUAGCGAUGUGGCAUCACAUUGCUAUUAUAGCUUCGGCGCUUGUUGAUGGGUGUGCGGCUGAUUAGAUAGUUGGCGGGGUAACGGCCCACCAAGUCUAUGAUCAGUAGCUGAUGUGAGAGAAUGAUCAGCCACACGGGAACUGAGACACGGGCCCGACUCCUACGGGAGGCAGCAGUAAGGAAUAUUGGACAAUGGACGCAAGUCUGAUCCAGCCAUGCCGCGUGAAGGAUUAAGGUCCUCUGGAUUGUAAACUUCUUUUAUAAGGGACGAAAAAAGGUCUUUCUAGAUCGUCUGACGGUACCUUAUGAAUAAGCACCGGCUAACUCCGUGCCAGCAGCCGCCGUAAGAC